GACGAACGCUGGCGGCGUGCCUAAUACAUGCAAGUAGAACACUGAAGCUUGGUGCUUGCACCGAGCGGCUGAGUUGCGAACGGGUGAGUAACGCGUAGGUAACCUGCCUGGUAGCGGGGGAUAACUAUUGGAAACGAUAGCUAAUACCGCAUAACAGUAGAUAUCGCAUGAUAGCUACUUGAAAGGUGCAAAUGCACCACUACCAGAUGGACCUGCGUUGUAUUAGCUAGUUGGUGAGGUAACGGCUCACCAAGGCAACGAUACAUAGCCGACCUGAGAGGGUGAUCGGCCACACUGGGACUGAGACACGGCCCAGACUCCUACGGGAGGCAGCAGUAGGGAAUCUUCGGCAAUGGACGGAAGUCUGACCGAGCAACGCCGCGUGAGUGAAGAAGGUUUUCGGAUCGUAAAGCUCUGUUGUAAGAGAAGAACGAGUGUGAGAGUGGAAAGUUCACACUGUGACGGUAUCUUACCAGAAAGGGACGGCUAACUACGUG
rnacentral:rRNA from 1 species